GACGAACGCUGGUGGCGCGCUUAAUACAUGCAAGUCGAACGGUAGCACAGAGAGCUUGCUCUCGGGUGACGAGUGGCGGACGGGUGAGUAAGGUCUGGGAAACGGCCGGAGGGAGGGGGAUACCUCUGGGAAACGGUAGCUAAUACCGCUUAACGUCGCAAGACCAAAGAGGGGGACCUUCGGGCCCCUUGCCAUCAGACGUCCCCAGAUGGGAUUAGCUAGUAGGUGGGGUAACGGCUCACCUAGGCGACGAUCCCUAGCUGGUCUGAGAGGAUGACCAGCCACACUGGAACUGAGACACGGUCCAGACUCCUACGGGAGGCAGCAGUGGGGAAUAUUGCACAAUGGGCGCAAGCCUGAUGCAGCCAUGCCGCGUGUAUGAAGAAGGCCUUCGGGUUGUAAAGUACUUUCAGCGGGGAGGAAGGGAGUAAGGUUAAUAACCUUGCUCAUUGACGUUAACCGCAGAAGAAGCACCGGCUAACUCCGUGCCAGCCGCCGCAGUAA
rnacentral:rRNA from 1 species